AUGCGUUGAUUUUAAUCCAUGUUUCAGGAUGCGGUCAGGCCAGCGACGAUAGAAACCGGAGUGCACAUAUAU